rnacentral:rRNA from 3 species
AAAUUGAAGAGUUUGAUCAUGGCUCAGAUUGAACGCUGGCGGCAGGCCUAACACAUGCAAGUCGAACGGUAACAGGAAGCAGCUUGCUGCUUUGCUGACGAGUGGCGGACGGGUGAGUAAUGUCUGGGAAACUGCCUGAUGGAGGGGGAUAACUACUGGAAACGGUAGCUAAUACCGCAUAACGUCGCAAGACCAAAGAGGGGGACCUUCGGGCCUCUUGCCAUCGGAUGUGCCCAGAUGGGAUUAGCUAGUAGGUGGGGUAACGGCUCACCUAGGCGACGAUCCCUAGCUGGUCUGAGAGGAUGACCAGCCACACUGGAACUGAGACACGGUCCAGACUCCUACGGGAGGCAGCAGUGGGGAAUAUUGCACAAUGGGCGCAAGCCUGAUGCAGCCAUGCCGCGUGUAUGAAGAAGGCCUUCGGGUUGUAAAGUACUUUCAGCGGGGAGGAAGGUGUUGAGGUUAAUAACCUCAGCAAUUGACGUUACCCGCAGAAGAAGCACCGGCUAACUCCGUGCCAGCAGCCGCGGUAAUACGGAGGGUGCAAGCGUUAAUCGGAAUUACUGGGCGUAAAGCGCACGCAGGCGGUCUGUCAAGUCGGAUGUGAAAUCCCCGGGCUCAACCUGGGAACUGCAUUCGAAACUGGCAGGCUAGAGUCUUGUAGAGGGGGGUAGAAUUCCAGGUGUAGCGGUGAAAUGCGUAGAGAUCUGGAGGAAUACCGGUGGCGAAGGCGGCCCCCUGGACAAAGACUGACGCUCAGGUGCGAAAGCGUGGGGAGCAAACAGGAUUAGAUACCCUGGUAGUCCACGCCGUAAACGAUGUCGACUUGGAGGUUGUGCCCUUGAGGCGUGGCUUCCGGAGCUAACGCGUUAAGUCGACCGCCUGGGGAGUACGGCCGCAAGGUUAAAACUCAAAUGAAUUGACGGGGGCCCGCACAAGCGGUGGAGCAUGUGGUUUAAUUCGAUGCAACGCGAAGAACCUUACCUACUCUUGACAUCCAGAGAACUUUCCAGAGAUGGAUUGGUGCCUUCGGGAACUCUGAGACAGGUGCUGCAUGGCUGUCGUCAGCUCGUGUUGUGAAAUGUUGGGUUAAGUCCCGCAACGAGCGCAACCCUUAUCCUUUGUUGCCAGCGGUCCGGCCGGGAACUCAAAGGAGACUGCCAGUGAUAAACUGGAGGAAGGUGGGGAUGACGUCAAGUCAUCAUGGCCCUUACGAGUAGGGCUACACACGUGCUACAAUGGCGCAUACAAAGAGAAGCGACCUCGCGAGAGCAAGCGGACCUCAUAAAGUGCGUCGUAGUCCGGAUUGGAGUCUGCAACUCGACUCCAUGAAGUCGGAAUCGCUAGUAAUCGUGGAUCAGAAUGCCACGGUGAAUACGUUCCCGGGCCUUGUACACACCGCCCGUCACACCAUGGGAGUGGGUUGCAAAAGAAGUAGGUAGCUUAACCUUCGGGAGGGCGCUUACCACUUUGUGAUUCAUGACUGGGGUGAAGUCGUAACAAGGUAACCGUAGGGGAACCUGCGGUUGGAUCACCUCCUUACCUUAAAGAA